rnacentral:rRNA from 1 species
GAGUUUGAUCCUGGCUCAGAACGAACGCUGGCGGCGUGCCUAACACAUGCAAGUCGAACGGAUUUGAGGGGCUUGCUCCUCAAGUUAGUGGCGCACGGGUGAGUAACGCGUAGAUAAUCUGCCUGAUGAUCUGGGAUAACACUUCGAAAGGGGUGCUAAUACCGGAUAAGCCCACGGGGUCUUUGGAUUCUGCGGGAAAAAGGGGGGACUUUCGGGCCUUCUGUCAUCAGAUGAGUCUGCGUACCAUUAGCUAGUUGGUAGGGUAAUGGCCUACCAAGGCUACGAUGGUUAGCUGGUUUGAGAGAAUGAUCAGCCACACUGGAACUGAGACACGGUCCAGACUCCUACGGGAGGCAGCAGUGGGGAAUUUUGCGCAAUGGGCGAAAGCCUGACGCAGCAACGCCGCGUGAGUGAUAAAGGCUUUCGGGUCGUAAAGCUCUGUCGAGGGGAAAGAAGUGUAUUGUGGCUAAUAUCCACGAUACUUGACGGUACCCCUAAAGGAAGCACCGGCUAACUCCGUGCCAGCAGCCGCGGUAAUAC